AUGCACGCUGGCGGCUUGCCUAAUCCAUGCAAGUCGAGCGAACAGACGAGGAGCUUGCUCCUCUGACGUUAGCGGCGGACGGGUGAGUAACACGUGGAUAACCUACCUAUAAGACUGGGAUAACUUCGGGAAACCGGAGCUAAUACCGGAUAAUAUAUUGAACCGCAUGGUUCCAUAGUGAAAGACGGUUUUGCUGUCACUUAUAGAUGGAUCCGCGCCGCAUUAGCUAGUUGGUAAGGUAACGGCUUACCAAGGCGACGAUGCGUAGCCGACCUGAGAGGGUGAUCGGCCACACUGGAACUGAGACACGGUCCAGACUCCUACGGGAGGCAGCAGUAGGGAAUCUUCCGCAAUGGGCGAAAGCCUGACGGAGCAACGCCGCGUGAGUGAUGAAGGUCUUCGGAUCGUAAAACUCUGUUAUUAGGGAAGAACAAAUGUGUAAGUAACUAUGCACGUCUUGACGGUACCUAAUCAGAAAGCCACGGCUAACUACGUG
rnacentral:rRNA from 1 species